rnacentral:rRNA from 1 species
AGCGAACGCUGGCGGCAGGCUUAACACAUGCAAGUCGAACGCCCCGCAAGGGGAGUGGCAGACGGGUGGGUAACACGUGGGAACGUACCCUUUGGUUCGGAAUAACUUGGGGAAACUCAAGCUAAUACCGGAUAAGCCCUUAUGGGGAAAGGUUUACUGCCGAAGGAUCGGCCCGCGUCUGAUUAGCUAGUUGGUGAGGUAAUGGCUCACCAAGGCGACGAUCAGUAGCUGGUCUGAGAGGAUGAUCAGCCACACUGGGACUGAGACACGGUCCAGACUCCUACGGGAGGCAGCAGUGGGGAAUAUUGGACAAUGGGGGCAACCCUGAUCCAGCCAUGCCGCGUGAGUGAUGAAGGCCUUAGGGUUGUAAAGCUCUUUUACCCGGGACGAUAAUGACUGUACCGGGAGAAUAAGCCCCGGCUAACUUCGUGCCAGCAGCCGCGGUAA